AAUGAGAUAAUCUGUUGAAAGUCCUUGACCUAAUAUCUGUCCUAUGGAAGUGGUCAUAAAUGCUGGCUAUUAUUACCAUUAUUAUUAAGAUGGAAUGAUGAUGACGAUGAUGAUGAUGAUGAUGACGAUGAUGAGAUGACAAUCAUUAUGAUGAAAGAGAAGGACCAAAGGAAAGAAAACAGGAAUGAGAGUGUUCCUAGUAAUGGAAAAGGAGAAUCUCAGCAUUCCACCAAGAAAAUCUCCAAAAAAGGAAAAGCAAAUGAGCAGGGCUGUUUCUGAGGAUAUGAAAUACUUUACAAUUAAAUAAGGAAGAAGAGGAAACAUUCCAGACAGAAGCAAUCUCUUACUGCAAGAGAAUAAGAAGUAAUAAGAAUUUUCAUCAUUUGAAAUGCAGCCAUGUGGCAAUUUUAUCCAUCCAGAACAACUGACAUACAGUAAAUACUUAACAUGUAGCAGAUUCUGCUGUGUUUUUUGAUGUCUUGUUAUAUUAAAUCUCUUCAACCACACUAUGAGGUAGGUGUGUCUUUCCUUCUCAUUCUGUGAAGUAAGGAAAUGGAGUCAUAGAGAAGUUACAUGUGCAG
rnacentral:lncRNA from 1 species